GCUUCAGUGGUGCAAAUGGAAGACACGUUUGGCUAAGGACCAGAUGCCUUAUGGUAUGAGAGUUCGAUUCUCUCCUGAAGCA
rnacentral:tRNA from 1 species